ACUAAUUUUUGUAUUUUUAGUAGAGACAGUGUUUCACCACGUUGGCCAGGCUGGUCUUGAACUCCUGAUCUCAGGUGAUCUGCCCGCUUUGACCUCCCAAAGUGCUGGGACUUCAGGUGUGAGCCACCACGCCCAGCCAAGAAAUUGAUUUUUUUUAGUUAAUAAUGUUUACCAAGUAUUGUAGUUGGGUGAAGUCUUCAAGCUUAAAAGUAAACCUCCAGCAUGUUAUUACCUAAGGAAUUUGUGUCAAGGCUGAUUGAACCUGAAUCUCUUAAAUGCUUUGUUUUUGUAGAGAGGAAAAUAUGAUGUUCCCAAGUGGCUCUCUCCCAGUAGCAUUCUGCUUCUUCAACAAAUGCUGCAGGUGGACCCAAAGAAACGGAUUUCUAUGAAAAAUCUAUUGAACCAUCCCUGGAUCAUGCAAGAUUACAACUAUCCUGUUGAGUGGCAAAGCAAGAAUCCU
rnacentral:lncRNA from 10 species